UUUUUUUUUUGCUACAUAGUUCCAGCUGGCCUCAAACUUGUAGCAACCUCCGCUAGGACUACAGGUGUGUGCCACCUUCCCAGCUGACAGAUGUGCCUCUGUGAGUCACAUCUUCUCUAUACGAUACACGGUGACUUUCCAAUAGCAUACAGAGGCAUGCAGCAUGCCCUACCAGCCUGUGAUGUUUUCAGUUUCAGAUCAGAGACCGUAGCCGUAGAUCUGAAAUGGCACGUGUUCUCCUAAGAACCACUUUAUCUUUCAGUAGCAUUUUAAAUCCUUAGCAACGAGAAAACUAAAUAAAAUGCACCCGCCUUUAGUCCGAGGACUAAGGAGGCAGGGGCUGGAGGAUCCCUGGGAGUUCCAAGCCAGCCAGGGCUACACAGUAAAAGCGCACGCACGCACGCAGUUUUUAAAUGUCACAGUGCUGCAGAUUGAGCUCAAGGCCUGCACACACACUAGGUUGAUCAGUGUUUUAUACAGAAUAACAGCCCAGCCUCCUCUGAUGGCGUUGAAAGGUGGGAGCUGAUAGGGUCACAUAAGUGAGAAGCAAGUGCAGAUCCUUCACCCUGACUCUCACUCGGCCUGGUGCAGCCUAUUUCUCAGCAGUAAGCAGGCAGGCGGCGGCCUCUUAGCUAGUUAGAAACGUAAAACCCUUUUCUAAAGACUUCAUUUAGGUGCUUUUGAAAACCCGUGUAUGCAAUAAAUAGUCUAACUCCGUAUUAAACAUUUGCUGUCACCAGGUCUGUCACACAUCAGUGACAUAAAGCCCCAGAGGACCAUGUCUAUUUGAGGAAUGAAGACUACAGAAAAAGCUUCCAAAGCAGAAUUUUGAUUACAAAUAAAAUUCAAAGUGAGGCAUCUAGUUUCAAGGACUAGGCAUUUUUUCCUAAUUAAAAAGAGAGAUGGGAAGCCUGUCCUUUAUUCUAGCAUGAUUCUGUAAAUGUUUCCAUGCACAAGGUCAGAAAGGGUAAAGCCGGAGCCCAAUGUGUUUAUUAAAAAAAGGGGAGAAGGGUGGAAGGAAGGAGGCCCCCUCAUGCCAGAGCUCUGAGGGGCACAGUCACGGCGGGUUCUUCCCUACAGGAGAACUCUUCUCUAGUGAUCACGAUUAGUUCCACCUGAACUAAUUUUUUUUUCCUCCAAUGACUCAGAUAUUUAAUGGAAAUAUUUGAUCUUUUAACUAUUUAUUUAUUUUGUUUUCUAUAAAAUAAAUUGAAAUUUUCACACGUGUAUACAAUGUAUAUGAUCAUUGCCAGUCCCCUUUUCUGCACUCUAGCUCCCCGCAAACCUUUCUGGAACAUGCUUAACUCUUCUGUUAACGCAGAAAACUUGAUAGGGUAAGGGGUUUUUAAAACAAUAAUGUCUUAUGAGAUGACAUUCCGACAGAUAUAAAGGCAGAUUCUGUUUCCUGGGUUUGUCUUUCUGUCCAUUCUUCGCUUGUGUUUUCUGCUGGCGCUCAGAGUAGAACUUGGCUACAAUGUGUGUGGAGCACACUCUACCAUUGAACCAGGACCCCAGUUCCUGAGCUGAGCUCUGUACACGAAAAGGCCAUUGGUGGUGGUGGUGGUGGUGUUGUUUCUCAAACCGAAAAGCUCUCUUCAAACCACACAAACUUAACUGUCCUGUGUGAAUCUUUACGUCUCGUUUUAUUUCUCUAAUCGCCUUAUUACGAUAAGAAUUUGGAAUUUGGGUUAAAGUAGUCUAAAGAAUUGUACAGGGGCUGGAGAGAUGGCUCGGUGGUUAAGAGCACUGGCCCGUUUCUCCAGAGGUCCUGAGUUCAAUUUCCAUCAACCACAUGGUGGCUCACGACCAUCUGUAAUGGAAUUUGAUUCAAGAACACUUUUUCUUGCAGAGGACCUAGGUUUGGUUCCCAGCGCCUCCACGGUGGCUCGCAACCAUUCAUGACUGCAGUUCCAGGGGUUCCAGCGUGAUCUUCCACCUCUGUGGGCAUCAGGAACACGCAUGAUACACACACAUAAUACAUACAUACAUACAUACAUACAUACAUACAUACAUACAUACAUACAUGCAAGCAAAACACUCAUAACUGAAUGUUUAGUGAAAUGCCUCUCUAUAUGUGUCUGUAGAUAUGUAGUGUCUUGCCAGUAUCCCCUAUGUUCGAUGUACUGCAUACUUUUAGACACACACUAACCAUAAAGAGAUCUCACGAACCUGCUUAUUCUCCGAACUAGCAAUACGGUUUUGUGGUUUUAGUUUUAGUUUUUAUCCUGGGUCUCACAUAUCCCAAGCCAGCCUCAAACUCUCUAUGCAUGUAAUAAAGGCCAUUGUUGUGUUCCUGACCCUCCUACCCAAGCCUCCCACGCUGGUGUGUGCCGCCACGCUCAGUUCUGUCGAUACUUUUAAAAAAGUAGCUUUCAAAGUCAGUUUCCCUGUGGUAUUUCCAUACAUGGUUUUGGUUGACCUGUGUCUCCUACCCCCAUCUACCUGUUUCCCAUCCCUAUUUAAACCUUUCCACCCAGUACUUGUUGAUCAUGUCUUCUAAGAAUAUCUUCCCUUUGAUUCCUAUCAGUUUGCCUCCAUUUUGUAAAUGAAGAAGUCAGAACGCUUUACUCCCA
ensembl:lncRNA